GAGGAAGUGGCUGCGGAACGCUCGGCCAAUGAGUGUCUGGAGCUGUGAUUAACCAGGCAGCAACACAUCAUUUCCUCCCGGCGCGGAUCCAGGGAGCCGGGAGGGAGAGGGCCGGCGGCGGGGCGGGGCGCUCCUCGCGCCCCCUGCAGGCGCCCGGCCCCAGGGAGCCCUCCCGCCUAGCCUUGCUCGCCCGCCGCCCCCGACCCCCAACCCCUCCGACCGCCCCGGCUGCGGGCUGCUGCAAGCCGGUCUGGCGGGACGCGGGGGAGGUGUGCGGCGCGGCGCGGGGAGCGGCCAGGUCCUUUCAUGUAGAGGGCAUUUAUUGGGUCGCUGGUUGCAGCACUGCAGAAGGUUGCAAAGGAAGUGGAAGAUCGGCCUUUCCAAGAGUUGCAAGCAAGCUAGCAACACAGGCAUAUAUGUACAAGGAGCAGCUAGAAAAGAGCCUUCAGGUGUUGUGUAAGCAAAAAAGGCAGAGAAGAUGUGGGCUUCAAAAGCCAGUCCCUAGAGUCCCUCAGAUAAACGUCGUUAGGAGGAUCAAAUCAAUUUCCUCAUCAAAUUAAACAAAUGCAUUUCAAAUUUCACCGUGGUAGACUCUGAAUCAAGGUGGCUUUUCAUUUUUAGAGAAUAUUCCUUUUCCUGAUUUCUCUCUGAGUGCGCUAUGAGGACAUUGUCACAGAUAAGAAAUCAAAUUAAUUUUCUAAGGCCUAAUGUGGCCCCAAUUCUACCCAUAUCUAAAAUGCAGCCACUUCCUUUUUAUUAACCUACUUUUUUUUUUUUUGAAUGAAACUCCAGAGAGCAGCUACUAAGGUUAAUUACAUAUAGUGGAGAACUGGCCAUGUGACCUUAUGCAAGUAACUUCAGAUUUCAUAGCCUCCUUUUUUCUCCUCUGGUGUGGAACCAGGACUGGGCUCUCUUGGAGACCUGUCAGUUCUGAAAUCCCAGACCUUAUUUGGAAUUCCUGCAUUUGCCAUUUCUGAGUGAAGAGCUCAAGAUUUCCAGGGACUCACAGAGAGCCUUUUGGACCCAGCAGGAUGAAGGUGUGUGGCCACAGGAGGAGGCUAAGGUAGCCUGGCCAAGUCCAAAUCAUGCGGGCCUCACCAGCCAAGGAAUGGGAUUCAAUCAAAUAGGUUAGCUGGAGGAAGUAAGUUCUUUAGCUCUACACAGACAUUCACAUUCUGUUGUUACCAAGACAUUUGUCUUAAUGUGGUUUUGUUGGUGGUGUUUAAAACCAUGAUUCAAGGGGCCGGGACAUACCACAGUGCUUGUCUAGCAUUUCCAAAGACCCAGGUUCAACCCCAACAACACAGUAUAUGAACAAAUGAAAGAUACAAAGUAUACAAGGACACAAGGACAGACUGCAGUGAAGCAAGCACAAAGAACCAGUUUCCUCUCGUUGCCAGCUGCCAUGUAUCAGUUGAGAAAUGUUCUAGAAAUAGGAACAAUUACAUGUGUUUUCUUUUGCUUUGUCACAACUGGCAACGUAAUAUACGUUGGGCUUCUGUGCUUUUUGCUUUUAAUUAAUGUCACAAUGUAUCUUGAUGCUCACCAAUCACCCUUUGAUAAACAGUCUUUUCUGUUACAAUUGUUACUCUCAAGACUUAUUUUUACUGUGUCCCUCUGUUAGGGGACUUGGAAGCGUCCAGAGAUCUCGCUCUGGCCAUAUCCCUGCCUUUUCUCCUUGGAAAAGUUUGUCCCCAAAACAUGCAUAGCUUUUCAAGGUUUCACAGCUAGUUAAAGCAAGGCUGGGGCCAGAAUUUGUUUCUCCAAACCACCUCUAGGUCCCAUUUUACUCUCUGAUUAUAUGAAAUUAAACACGUUGUAAUUAAAAAUGCUUUCUGAAGUGGUAUGCCUUCUAUGACUCAAGUCUUUAGUUUUGUUUUUUUAUUUUUGAACUAGCAUGUAUUCACUAGCGUGAACUACUGAAUUUACAGAGCUAUGCAUGAAGAUGUUGCCAGUGGUAAUACAGAGAUUGUGUCAGUACAAAUAAUCUUUUUACCUUGUGUAUGUGGAGGAGUUCUCGUAUUUGUGCAUAUACAUACAAGUGCAUGGACUACAGAUUGAACUUGGGGCUUUGGGCAUGCUGGGUAAGCUCUCAACUACAAAGCCACGUCCCUCAACUUUUUGUUUGUUAUGACAGGGACUCACCAUAUAGCCUUGACUGGCUUAUAGUUCACUAUGUAGACAAACUCACAGCUUCCCAAGUGCUGGGACUAAAGGUACAUGCCUCCACCACCUGUCCCAAAUCUCUCCCUACCCCUGUUUGUCAAGAUCAUCCUGGAACUAUCUCUGUAGACCAGGCUGGCCCCAAAGUCACAGAGAUCUACCUGCCUCUGACUCCUAGUGCUAGGACAAAAGGGAUAUGCCACCACCACCCCAAACCCCUCUUUUUAAUAGAAACUUUAUUGAACUAUAAUUACC
ensembl:lncRNA